UACGUAGGGUGCGAGCGUUCAUCGGCAUUCCUGGGCGUAAAGCGUGCGCAGGCGGUGAUGUAAGACAGGUGUGAAAUCCCCGGGCUUAACCUGGGAACUGCAUUUGUGACUGCAUUGCUGGAGUGCGGCAGAGGGGGAUGGAAUUCCGCGUGUAGCAGUGAAAUGCGUAGAUAUGCGGAGGAACACCGAUGGCGAAGGCAAUCCCCUGGGCCUGCACUGACGCUCAUGCACGAAAGCGUGGGGAGCAAACAGG
rnacentral:rRNA from 1 species